rnacentral:lncRNA from 1 species
UUCAUUAAUUUUUUUCAUAAAUAAAGUCAGUUGAACAACAUUUAUGCAACUAAUAUUCCAUUCAUACACAAUGAAAAAAUUUAACAUUCAAUGUCGACAUUCUAAAUAUGAUCAACAAAAAUAACCUAAUAACAAAUCUUAUCAUAAGAAUAAAACGUUUAUCAAAAGUAAAACAAAAAUAUAGAAACAAAAUUAGAAUACCAGAGCUUUUUGCAAAAGAAUUUUGUCACCAUUUUGGAGGGAUAAACAGAUGAGUUCCUUACUUGACUAAACAAAGUGAAAGAUGCCAUACACACAAGUCUGACGAGAGAUCCUUACUAUGUUGAAGUGAUGAAUUAAGUAAGGCUUAAGUUUAACUUGC